GAUGAAGAACGUAGUGAAAUGCGAUAAGUAAUGUGAAUUGCAGAAUUCAGUGAAUCAUCGAAUCUUUGAACGCAUCUUGCGCUCCUUGGUAUUCUGAGGAGCAUGCCUGUUUGAGUGUCAUUAAAUUCUCAACUACACUGACUUUGAAUUGGUGUGGCUUGGAUUUGGGGGGAAAAUUGUUGUGGGCUUUUUGUAUAGUCUGCUCCCCUGAAAUUGAUUAGCGGUACCUUUGUGGAACUGUCUACAGGUGUGAUAAUUAUCUACAUCUUAGACAUCUGCUGGAAUGCUGCUUUCUAAACCUUACUUGUAUUGACAAUCUUGACCUCAUAUCAGGUAGGACUACCCGCUGAACUUAAGCAUAUCAAUAAGCGGAGGA
rnacentral:misc_RNA from 1 species